rnacentral:misc_RNA from 1 species
UGUGGGAGCGGGCUUGCUCGCGAUACAAACACUGCGGUCCUUCAGGAAAAACGAGGAGAUGCCAUCGCGAGCAAGCCCGCUCCCACA